rnacentral:pre_miRNA from 1 species
UUUAUAAUAUUAUCAGGUUUGCUGUUAAGGAAAAGUAAACUGGUAGUAUUAUAUUAA